UGAGUUUGAUCCUGGCUCAGGAUAAACGCUGGCGGCGUGCCUUACGCAUGCAAGUCGAACGAAGCUCCUCCCUUCGGGGCGGAUGACUGAGUGGCAAACGGCUGAGUAACGCGUAGGUGACCUGCCCCAAGGUGGGGAACAACCCGUCGAAAGGCGAGCUAAUACCCCAUGUGCCCGCGGGAUCGGCCCUGCGGGGAAAGCUCCGGCGCCUUGGGAGGGGCCUGCGUCCGAUUAGUUUGUUGGUGGGGUAAUGGCCUACCAAGACGACCAUCGGUAGCUGGUCUGAGAGGAUGAUCAGCCAGACUGGGACUGAGAAACGGCCCAGACUCCUACGGGAGGCAGCAGCGAGGAAUCUUGCGCAAUGGGCGAAAGCCUGACGCAGCAACGCCGCGUUGGGUGAAGAAGGCCCUCGGGUCGUAAAGCCCUUUUGCCG
rnacentral:rRNA from 1 species